rnacentral:rRNA from 1 species
GUGCCAGCAGCCGCGGUAAGACGAACCGUGCAAACGUUAUUCGGAAUCACUGGGCUUAAAGGGCGCGUAGGCGGGCUGGCCAGUCUGUGGUGAAAUCCCCCGGCUUAACCGGGGAACUGCCGUGGAUACUGCCAGUCUCGAGGAGGGUAGGGGCAUCUGGAACAGCCGGUGGAGCGGUGAAAUGCGUUGAUAUCGGCUGGAACUCCGGUGGCGAAGGCGAGAUGCUGGACCCUUUCUGACGCUGAGGCGCGAAAGCCAGGGGAGCGAACGGGAUUAGAUACCCCAGUAGUCC